CCUACGGGUGGCUGCAGUGAGGAAUAUUGGUCAAUGGACGAGAGUCUGAACCAGCCAUGUAGCGUGAAGGAUGACUGCCCUAUGGGUUGUAAACUUCUUUUAUAUGGGAAUAAAAUGUUCUACGUGUGUGAUUUUGUAUGUAUCAUAUGAAUAAGGAUCGGCUAACUCCGUGCCAGCAGCCGCGGUAAUACGGAGGAUCCGAGCGUUAUCCGGAUUUAUUGGGUUUAAAGGGGGCGUAGGUGGAUUGUUAAGUCAGUUGUGAAAGUUUGCGGCUCAACCGUAAAAUUGCAUUUGAAACUGGCAGGCUAGAGUGCAGUAGCGGUAGGCGGAAUUCGUGGUGUAGCGGUGAAAUGCUUAGAGAUCACGCAGAACACCGAUUGCGAAGGCAGUUCACUGGACUGCAACUGACACUGAGGCUCGAAAGUGUGGGUAUCAAACAGGAUUAGAGACCCGAGUAGUC
rnacentral:rRNA from 1 species